GGCCUACCAUGGUGGUAACGGGUAACGGGGUGUUAGGGCACGACACCGGAGAGGGAGCCUGAGAAACGGCUACCACAUCCAAGGAUGGCAGCAGGCGCGCAAAUUACCCAAUCCCGACACGGGGAGGUAGUGACAAUAAAUAACAAUACGGGGUUCUUUCGGAUCUCGUAAUUGGAAUGAGUACAAUUUAAAUCUCUUAACGAGGAACAAUUGGAGGGCAAGUCUGGUGCCAGCAGCCGCGGUAAUUCCAGCUCCAAUAGCGUAUAUUAAAGUUGUUGCAGUUAAAAAGCUCGUAGUUGAAUUUCGGGACCAAUUUGUUGGUCGUGCCUCGGUACGUACUGGUAUUAUUGGUUUCUCCCUUCUGAAGAACCUCGAUGUCAUUAAUUUGGUGUCGUGGGGAAUCAGGACUGUUACUUUGAAAAAAUUAGAGUGUUUAAAGCAGGCAUACGCUUGAAUACAUUAGCAUGGAAUAAUGAAAUAGGACGUUUGAUUCUAUUUUGUUGGUUUCUAGGAUCGACGUAAUGAUUAAUAGGGAUAGUUGGAGGCAUUAGUAUUCAAUUGUCAGAGGUGAAAUUCUUGGAUUUAUUGAAGACUAACUACUGCGAAAGCAUUUGCCAAGGAUGUUUUCAUUAAUCAAGAACGAAAGUUAGGGGAUCGAAGACGAUCAGAUACCGUCGUAGUCUUAACCAUAAACUAUGCCGACUAGGGAUCGGAUGAUGUUAAUUUUUUAAUGACUCAUUCGGCGCCUUACG
rnacentral:rRNA from 1 species